AUGGACACAGAAAGGUUAAAAAGGUUAUUAAUAAAGUCGGUAGUAGCAUUAGCCAUAGCGGCCUUGAUUCUCUAUGCCGAUGCCACACGGCCCAAGAAGCCUGAGGAUAUCAGGUUGAACGACAGGGGUGAGUGCGUGUACCCCAUGAGCCUGUCUUUCGUGGUGGGUUUGGCCGAGCUGGCUGUCCUUCUGGGUUUCGUCUCGUAUUUCACCUUCCAACACGGAUGGUGCUGCGUGCGCCGCGACGGCGUCUCCGUAUCGAGCUUCGCGCUGGGCAUCUUCCUCGCCAUCCUCUCAUGGUUAUUGACGUGGUGGGCGGUACGACUAUAUCUCCGCGACGUGGGGGCGAUCUGGCCGGGGAGGCGUGGUAAACCCCCGGAGUGUUACGCCGCUCUUAAAUUGGAUCACCAUCACCUUAUGGCGAAUGCAUUCAAACCCUUCGUCUUUGCCUUGGCCUUGGCAUUCUGCUCCUCCAAGAAACUUUCCCCUCCUCCUCCUAUAGAAACCUAG
rnacentral:rRNA from 1 species